GACGUCUCACAGAAGAAGUACUGUUCAACACGAGCCUGGAAAGGUGAGUUCAAUAGAUCAUCUGUGAAGAUGGCCAAGUUUGAGAGAGGAAAAUCUGGACAGGAGAGAAAGCAUGUGUCAAAGGAGCCCAGAACGUUCCGAGAAAGGAAGUCUGGAAGAUUAGCCCUGAGCUAACUGCUGCUAUUCCUCCUCUUUUUGCCGAGGAAGACUGGCCCUGAGCUAAGAUCCAUGCCCAUCUUCCUCCACUUAAUAUGUAGGACGCCUACCACAGCAUAGCUUUUGCCAAGCGGUGCCUUGUCCGCACCAGGGAUCCGAACCAGCGAACCCCAGGCCGCCGAGAAGUGGAACGUGGGAACUUAACUGCUGCGCCAUGGGGCGGCCCUUAAAUUUUAUUUCUUGAUACUAACCAUAAAAUGUGUCGAUAUUGGUGACCUCUGCUUUUCAGCCCAUCAACCCCUUGGUGAUCUUUCAAGUUUCUUAGAAAGCUUGGCUGAGAGUCAUCUUAGAACCAGCCUCCACUCCAACGCCAAAGGAAAGGUGCUCGGUGUGGCACGCUGUGGGAAGAAAGAGAGUGUCCCCUCAUGGGCAUCAGCCUCCUGGUGAUGUGACCCUGUCAGGAAUACUCAGGCUUCCUAAGGAAGGUGGCAACUUGGCAUUCUUUAGACUGUGAUUGAUUUCCUCGUGGUAAAUGUUGACAGUUUAAACAAGAUUUGCCCUGUGUCUCAAAGUCUUUCUCUCCUCGCUGAGGAUCCAUUGUUUUAAGUCUUCCAUGAAGGAUGUAUUCAAUAAAUGCGUGUUGGAAGAAUUAUUGUGACGUUUAUAAAGUCGCAUGACAAAAUAAGAAGUGAUCAUGUUCAUUAUCCGCUUUAACUGAAUGUUAGAGGAAUUUUCUAAGUAGUGAGAAAAAUAGUAAAUGCGUUAAUUCAGCAAAACAAAACAACAAAUAUUUGCUAAAUGUUUAACUUUAAAAAAAAAGAAAAAAGAUUCACUGAUUGGGGCCAGCCUGGUGGCAUAGCGGUUAAGUUCACACACUCUGCUUCCACAGCCCAGGGUUCACCGGUUCAGAUCCCAGCACGGACCUAUGCACUGCUUAUCAAGCCACACUGUGGCAAGCAUCCCACAUAUAAAAGUAGAGGAAGAUUGGCACAGAUGUUAGCUCAGGGCCAAUCUUCCUCAGCAAAAAGAGGAGGAUUGGCGGUGGAUGUUAACUCAGGGCUAAUCUUCCUCAAAAACAAAACAGAUUCACUGAGACUAAAUUCACCAGGUACCAUCAAUGCAUAAUCAUCAGAAGGGUGUGACGUGAUAUGUAGAAAACUUGCUUACUAAUUGAUAAAACAACCCAAAGAACCAAAUGGUGGAAUGUCUCAAUCACUGCUUUAUUUUUUUAUCCAAGGAUGAUGUAAAGAACAUUGAAAUUACUAUAACAUUUGGAACACUGGCAAAGCUUUCUAGCUAGAAACGUGCAACUGUAAAUUAGAAAGAAGCAGCCACUUUCCACUGAGAGCCAGAAGCCAAAAUCCGAACUGUUGUCGUGAGGUCACAAGGGUGAUCUUAUAUACGGUGCCAUCUAUUCCAUCUCAGGCCAUUCCUGUGCAGCUGCUUCGAGCUAAAACUCCUCCACGCUCCACUUCUGAUUUUCCAGGGUUUCCCUGUCUGUCAGUUUCAGCCUGCCCCCUCCUGUUAUUUUUAGAUUUGAUUUUAGUCCUUAUAAAGGGCCAGGGGUGAGGAUAGGGAGAAAAUUUUUUUCAUUUUAAUUAAAAGCAGAUGACAAAGACAACUCAGUCAUGGAAAAUAACAGGAGUCACACUGUCUCUGGCUCCCAUUCGCGUAUUUCCUCCAUCAGCUGCAAGCGAGCAGAGAAGCAACAACGCUAAUUGAGUCUCCUCUGCCUUUUCCAGAAGACACACAUGAUCUAAGCAGAUCUCACCCGAGAUUCCGUUAGAGAGCUGCACGUGCUCUCCUUCCCUUUCCAUUCCCCCUCACAGAGUGAUUGCAUUUUAGAGCUGGCAGGCAGCUUCUGUGACUAUCUUCAUGUUACCAGGAGGAGCCCAGGGCCAAGCGAGGUCAAGGGAGGUGCCCGAAAAGGUCCAGCCUACUGAGGUCUCUCCAUUCCCACCUUCCAAGCGCUGAGCCUUGUCGAAUCCAUGUUUUUCAGCUGCCCAAAGAGUCCAAAUAGAGCAAGAGCUCCUUGAAGUGAGGGGCCCCAGCCUUGUGUGUUCUGUCCCUCAGUUCUCAGGACCUGCACAGGCAGGUGAAUGUGCACGGCGAAGCCGCUGCCUUUCACUCAUUCUUCCACACACUGUUGUUGCUGUUCUCCAACCUUCCGAUGAAUGUUUGUUUUUUCUCUCUCUGGACCAAUUUAGCCUUGUGCAUACUCUAUGAGCUUGGAUGUCUGCUUGCCUAUUAACUCAAAGACAGUUUAAUUCCAGAUUUUCUUCCAAGACUUCAUUUAGAUUCAGUCUUCAACGUCUCAUUAUUCAACAUGUUUACAGUUAGAUGUUCUAUUAUCAUAUAUAAUCAUUCGAAAGUACUAGUCUCUGUGUUCAGGUAACUCACAUGACACAGACUACAGCAUCUGUUGUGGACACAGCAUGGAAUUCAGUUUUGUAUUGUCAAACUCUUGCCUUUCUUCCUGGUUUCUCCAAAUGUAAGAAGGUCAUGGGGUGGGAGUGACCAGAUGAAAUCACUUACAGGUUAUCCACGAGACAAAGCCAAGGAAGCCCUGAUAAAGACAACCUCCACUCACGUCAUAUGACAGACAGAAAAAGCAUAUCUGGGUCUCUGCCCUGCUCAGUAGGAGAAUGAGGACUCUUGAUGGCAAAAGACGGAAACUCAAACCAGUUUGAGAAAAAAAGGGAGACAUUAUUAGAAGGCUUAUAUCCUCAUCUGGGAAGAGCAGAGAUGGCACUGGACAUCACAGACAGCUGGCACCAGGGACUCACAAGCCCCCAGCAUGCUCUUUCUUUUCUCUACCUCUCUCUCUGAGUCAGCGUUACUUCUCCCAAACUGGCUUUGGGAGUGAGCUCUUCCUCACGUGCAGCUUAACCCUCAGACAGAGAUUAGCUCCCUCUCCCCAGUUCCAGUUGCAAAACCCCCGAGGAAUGACUCUGUUGGUCUGACGAGGGCCAGGUGCCUACUCCUACCCCCAGAUAAUGGAGACUUUCCUCAAAGGAGGGGAAACAGAGGCCCCCUCAGUCACCCUAAUUCACAUCUACCACCACGUGUGGCAGGGGGCAAGUUUCUUUAACUUCUCUGAGCCUUGGUUUCUUCAUUGUAAAAUGAAACAUUUGGGGAGGGGCACAAAAAUAACACCUUCUUCAAAGAGCUGUUGAUCAUUUUACAUAGAUAACCAAUGUCAAAGGCCGCUGCAGUGUCUGCUAUAUGCGAAGCAUCAAUAAAUGUUCAUUUUUCUUCCAAGGUGAGUCUUAAAGUCAAGGAAGAAGUCAGCACGCUAAAAUGGAGAGGAAGAUUAUUUGGAGCACAGGGAACCGAAUGGGAAAUGCUGUACAAUUCAGAGUAAGAGGCACUAUAGGAGUUGUUAAAAGGAGGGCAAUUGAACCUUAAAUCAUUCCCACCAUAAAUCACCCAUAAGGUCCAUGUUCUAGAAAAAGGGGG
rnacentral:lncRNA from 1 species